rnacentral:lncRNA from 12 species
CUGGAGUUAAGCCAUGGUGGUCUCAGAGCAGCUUCUCCUCUCUAGAGACUCCUGACUUAUUUCAAUAUUAAAACCUUUCUUCAGUACUUCCUUUGGGCACUAUUUUAAGUGGAAUUAAAAUUUUUCAGUACCAGAUAUGUUCAAAUAGCAAGAUACUUCUGUCAUGGAAAAGCACUGGGCUGGAACUGAAUUAUCUAUCAAGAAGAUAAAAUAUCAGCACUAUCUAGUAGAGCCUCCUGUGAUGAUGGAAACCCUCUACAUCUGGUCUGUCCAACAUGGAAGUCACUAUGGAAGACUAUGUUGUGGGCUGGCCCAUUUACUGAGGAGUAGAAGGAUCCUUUGGCCAUCUGGAACAUACAAUAAAAAGAAAGCCAUUAGAAGGAAACUUCUGAAACAUUGAAACGUCGUAGUUUAGUUUUGGAAAGCUUAAAAGAAGAGGACAGCAGAACCAGUUCCUCCUUGGACUGAAGUUUGUUUAUUUUGCUUGUUUGAAAUCAGAGCCAAAGGCCUAAUGGUUUUGACUAGCUCUAUGCGUUUGUUUCUGACUUUUGGGCUGGGCCAGUUUCUGCAGAUGAGACUUUGCAGAUAGCAGAAGACUUUCCCCCUGGUUUUUAGGACCUUAAACAUUUCUGGGAAAUCAUUCCUGAAAUUAUGUCUUCUCCAAGAAGCUGCCUCUGCGUCAUGAGAAGAAAAAGCAUUUUUAAAUUUAUAACCAUUUACCGAGUUCCUGAUGUGGGGAGGUAGGAUCCUCGUGUUAUGGAGUGGAAAAUACCUGAGAGCAGUGGGCAAAAGAGAAACCCUUACCCUCAAAACAGCCUGUGCUCCACUCAGGGAGACAGCAUCUACCCAGGUCUCCCUCAAGGGAGACUUCCUCAAGGGAAAGGGAGAAGAGAAGGGUGAUGUGGGAAACCCACCAGUUCAGCGAUAUUGAAACUAGGAACAUCAGCAUCAAGAAUGAUGCACUU